AGGUCAGAGCCACCUCAUGCCGGUAGCCACCAGGUGCCUUCUAAGCACUUGGCCGCAGGUUCGAGUCCUGCCGGGGGCGCCA
rnacentral:tRNA from 1 species